AACGCAUCUUGCGCUCCUUGGUAUUCCGAGGAGCAUGCCUGUUUGAGUGUCGUGAAUAUCUCUCAAUUUUAAACGUUUUUCGUUUGAAAUUGGACUUGGGCGUUGUCGUGUUUGGAUGGCUCGCCCUAAAUACAUUAGCGAUCUGCGCCUGAUCACGCACAAUGUGAUAAGUUUUUAAGCAUUGUUUAUAUGGUUGGGUUGGAUGAUAGCUUCUAACCGUCGUUUGACUUCACAUGUCAUUUGACCUCAAAUCAGGUAGGACUACCCGCUGAACUUAA
rnacentral:misc_RNA from 1 species